CCGAGGAUUACGUCACACCGGUUCCUCUCCAAGUCUUCCGGUCCUCGCUGAGUCCAUAAAGAAGCCCACCUGGCCAUGAAAACAUUAGAACACUCCCGGCAGCGAUUAGACAUACAACAUUGCAAUUUGGUGACGCCCUGACGUGAUUGGAAAGUUCCGGACCGAGACUUGCGACCGCGAGGCCGUCGGGAGCAGUGCAAGCUACUUACAGGCGCCACAAGAAAGAUCACAGACCAGAAGCCGUCCGAUCCAGAGGACCCUUCACCAACGUCGGCGACACCUGGCGAGUGGAUCUGGGUGAAAAAACACCAUCGAAAGAACCUAGAAGACCGGUGGGAGGGGCCAUACAAGGUACUCUUGGCCACACCCUUUUCUGUUUCUGUAGAGGACCGACGCGUGGCCCAGUGGCACCACCUGAGCCGGUGCCGCAAAGCAGAUACUCCUGGCAGAUCGUGGACUGAGACCCUGACCGACCUAGCUGCACUCCAAGCCAAGGA
ensembl:lncRNA